AACUGAAAUGCUUGAGUUAGUUGGGUCGUUUAGGCUAUUCGAAAAUCAUUAUUUAAGCAUAAUUGGCUUAGCUGCUUAUAUUUUAUGUAAAUUUCCUAUCUUAGGGAUAAUUGAGGCUUGUCUAACAUCUAAAAGUGGAUUUAUAUACCUUAACCCUAGUUCAGGUAGAAUUUUCCUAAAAUGUAACUUUAGGGAUUCAAAGUGUGCC
rnacentral:lncRNA from 1 species